GCAUUAGCCCAGGAUCCUCUGCUUUCCUGAGACCCAACCCCUGGCUCCCGCCCCUUUUUGGUCUCUCCGCCUUCCACCGGGACCCACCCCUCAGAUUCCAGCCUGCUGGAACCCGUGCCAGGUUCCUUUCACAGGAACCUCGUCCCCUCCAAAUGCAGUGACUUUUAUCCCUCGCCCCUUCUCCCGCCUGCCUCACCAGGGCGCACACGCUCCUUGGCCCCGGUCGGCUGGCUGUGAUUGGCGCCGGCGGCCCUAACAGAUGACGGAGGAGACAAAGUGAUGGCUGCAGGUCGUCUGAGGUCCCACCCCGGCCACGUGCGGCUUCUGUGAUGACAGGGUGUGGAUGGAACCCAGGGCCUUGCUCACGCUCUGCCACUGAGCUAGAACACCAAUCUCUUUAAUGGUAUCUUCAACGAACUUCCGUUCUCAACUACAAGGACAACAAAUUGUUACUGGAAUCAAGUCUGCUCUAUUCUGCUGAAAACCUAGAAGUCAGAUACAGGUGAAAGGAGCAGGCUAUGGGAACACAUACUUGUAGGUCCAGUACCUGCAAGGCUGAAACAGGAGGCUGGCUACAAGUUUGAGGCAGCCUGGAGUAUGUAGCACUUGAUCAGUCAGAGAUAAGUAGCAAGACUGUCUCCAAACAUCAACCACAAAAGAAACAGGUUUUGGACUUUCAGAGCUCCCUCAAGCCUCUGUCUGCACUGUGGACUCCCUGACAUGAUUGAUUGUAACUUGGAACUGUGAUGCAAAACAACCCCCUAACUAAGAUAUCAGAUGUCCUGCUCUGUCAUUCUUGUUCCCUUGAGAUUACUGAACCAGAAACUCACCAUUUUUUUUCGUUUGUCUGCAAGAUCCAGUGACUCUCUGGUCUCUGUCCCUAAUAAACUACCCUUUGUUAGUCCCUAC